rnacentral:rRNA from 1 species
AGUAAUGUAUGGGGAUCUGCCUGAUGGCGGGGGAUAACUACUGGAAACGGUAGCUAAUACCGCAUAAUGUCUGCGGACCAAAGCGGGGGACCUCCAGGCCUCGCGCCAUCAGAUGAACCCAUAUGGGAUUAGCUUGUAGGUAAGGUAACGGCUUACCUAGGCGACGAUCCCUAGCUGGUCUGAGAGGAUGAUCAGCCACACUGGGACUGAGACACGGCCCAG